UUUGUUUUGACUUGUCUUUUCGUCAUGCCUUUAGUGGAUUCUGAAUGAGCUCCUCACAAAAUGCUCAGGCCUUUGGCCCUGAAAAUUUUCAGAUUCUCUCUGCAUAUGAUUAAGCCUCAAGCCACAACUCCGAGCCAGGCGUUCUGACUCUGAUGCCACGAUGACAGUGAGAUGAAUAAUAGCUAACAAACAUGUGUGCCUUUUAGGAGCCAGAAACCUGACAGCUAUCAGAAGAGUUGAAGUGGGAGCCUCUCUUUCCCCGGGGAAAUGUGCAGCACAGAGCAGGCCAUAGCCUGUACUACAGCGCAGGGGACAUGCCACAGGGACAGGGCAGAGCCUCCUCUAGCCUCCUGCCCGACCAUCCCAGCCUGCCCUGCUCGAGGGCCCCUCUCUGCCUGUCCUCACCACACAGUCUCCUCCUGCCAGCUGCGCCAUCAGCCAUGCCGGAGGUCUGCUUCUGCGGGGACCCAUACCCAGAAACCCAGUGGGAGCAUCCCCUGGCUCGGUGAGCUGGGAACAAGGAUUCAGCAAGAUCUGAGUCUCUGUCUCCCAGGCUGGAGAGAAGGCACGUGCGUCUGCUCCAAUGGUUUUUCUUCUGACCUGAAAAUCAGCACUAGCCAGAAAGGACAGCUCUGCCUGUGACAAAAGGACUCUCACCCAGGUAUUCAGAUGAAGAGGACCAGCCCCGCUCCUAUCAUUCCCAGCUGUGAUACUGCCCACACCCUCCCCACCACCAGAUCACAGGUGUCCCAAAUCCCCACCUAAAUCCAUUCCACUGAAUUGACACACGGUCUCCAAAAGACUUCGUGUCAAGUGAAAGUUGCGUUAUCAGGGAGUGAGAGCCAUGUCCACACUGCUCUGUGAUGCAGAAGGGAAUGGAGGUGUGGUUUGAGGGGAGGAUCCAGAUCUACAAGACAGAAAGCUCAGGCUGGGCUUCUAAAAUGCACACCUCCCCAAGAAUCCAAUCUCAGACGCUUAAGACAAAAGUCACACUGCUUAGGGACGCCUGGGUGGCUCAGAUGGUUAAACCCCUUGGCCAGUUCCUGGCUCAGCGGGGAGUCUGCUUCUCCCUCUGCCUCUCCCCCUACUUGUG
rnacentral:lncRNA from 1 species